AGACUUUUGGUCUCUCUCUCUUCAAGCCUUCUCGGACAAACUUCACCGCCUCUGUCUCUCUCCCCGUUCGUGCUACGCUUCUGCUCCUACCUCAAUUUCAUUUUCAUGUUUUCCCUGCAUCUUCAUCUUCAUCCAUUCUCCGCGAACGAAGCCCCACCCAAAAUCACUCAGCCUCAUAAACGUCCUUGCUCCAGUUCUUCUUGUCUCCCUCAGUCAACCAUACUUCUCCACUUUCCAUUUUGUUGACCCAUCCUCAUGCCAGCCCAGUUCCACCGAGCAAUUCCUGCUUCGCCCGAGUUCUUCGACGCCAGCUCUCGGUCAACUCGGCGAUUACCUCAGCAAGUGUUGACUGCCAAGCCACCGAACAAGCUGCAGCCUACAGCCCAUCCCGUUGCCACACGUCCUUUACCCAUCCACCGAAACAGUUUCGGUCUUGCCGCGCUGCCAUCUCCAAAGCCCACCGAAGUCAGCUGAGCUCCUGCUUUGUUGACCCUACUGCCGUGUGUCUUCAUCGAGCAACGGUCAGCUCGCUCGCGCCAGCAACGUCUCAGCUGCCACCUCUCACGUCCGCGUGGUCUUCCCCUGCAGCAGCUCUUGCUGCUUCCUUCGUCCGCGACUCAACACCAACGACCGAGGUGAAGACCGAAGUUGCUUCAAUUUCCAUUGGGCCACGUAGAAUCAAGCAACGCGUGAAGCCGCAGCCCAUCGUGUCUUCAAGUCCAAGCCCACGUGAAUUCUGCCGCAAGCCAGCGAGUUUCACAUUUCCAUUUGAAGCCCAAACGAAGUCAGGCCCACAAGAAAUCAGCCCAUUUUGUUCAACCCAGCAAAGCCCAAGUGAUUCAAGCUCAGGCCCAAUUCCAUUGCAAGCUUAAGGCCCACUUGAAUUCAAGCCCAACUCAGCCUUUCCAAGCCCGCGUUAAUUGAAGCCCGCGAAGCAACUUAAGCCCAGUCCAAUUUCAAAAGCAAAUCUCAGAUUUGGGCUGAGAUUUGUUGGGCCCGUUUAAAGCCCAAUCUGAGAGUUCGCCGACACUGCCGAAAAUUAAGAUUUCGGCCGCCGUCGCGUCGUCGUCGCGGUGAACCGGUUUUCGCGAUACACCGGUGCCCUGGGCCAUAUUUGAGUGAUCGUGUAAUGGUUAAGAGAAAUCGUCACGGACUGUUGAGCUGGACGCUAUCCUUAUUUGGGAUACCCCCUAGACAACGGGAAGCCGGUCGCAGUUGAUUCUGGACCCUAUGCUCCUUCGGGAAAGCCGUCUGAUAAAGAGACGUGACGUGCUCAAUGGGGUGAGACGAUGCCUGGCAAUGCCAGAAGACCGCCGAACUGAGAGUAGGCCGUGCUAUAUGCCGAGAUCAAAUCUAGGAACGCAUGAUUAAUCGAGUGUGGCGUUUCAAUUAUCGAGAUAAAUUGUACUGACCUACAGGGUGGAUCUGAGACGAGGGUCGUCGAGUGAAGGACCUGGAGCUGAGAGGAGGUGAUCG